GCGUUCGUGGUGUAAUGGUCAGCAUGGAUCUUCCAAGCAUUCGACGGGGGUUCGAUUCCCCCCGAACGCA
rnacentral:tRNA from 1 species